rnacentral:snRNA from 1 species
GGAUGUGAGAGCUGGCUGUGACAUCUGUCACCCCAUUGAUUGCCAGGGUUGAUUCGGCUGAUCUGGCUGGCUAGAGGCAGGUGUCCCCUUCCUCCAUGUGCGUCCCUCCCGAAGCUGCGUGCUCGGUUGAAGAGGAAGGCCGUCCCCAAAUAGAGAUGAAUAGAGACCUACUGAUCUUCGGUCGAGGGUAUAAGAGUAGCUGCGCUCCCCUGCUAGAACCUCCAAACAAGCUCUCAAGAAAUAAACAGUGGUCUGGGAGGUAGCAGUAGAUAAAGCAUCGGACUCUCAAACAUGAGGUC